rnacentral:rRNA from 1 species
CCUACGGGCGGCAGCAGUGGGGAAUAUUGCACAAUGGGGGAAACCCUGAUGCAGCGACGCCGCGUGAGCGAUGAAGUAUUUCGGUAUGUAAAGCUCUAUCAGCAGGGAAGAAAAUGACGGUACCUGACUAAGAAGCCCCGGCUAACUACGUGCCAGCAGCCGCGGUAAUACGUAGGGGGCAAGCGUUAUCCGGAUUUAUUGGGUUUAAAGGGUGCGUAGGCGGUCCGUUAAGUCAGCGGUAAAAUUGCGGGGCUCAACCCCGUCGAGCCGUUGAAACUGGCAGACUUGAGUUGGCGAGAAGUACGCGGAAUGCGCGGUGUAGCGGUGAAAUGCAUAGAUAUCGCGCAGAACUCCGAUUGCGAAGGCAGCGUACCGGCGCCAGACUGACGCUGAGGCACGAAAGCGUGGGGAUCGAACAGGAUUAGAUACCCCUGUAGUC